GGCCUCGUAGCUCAGUUGGCUAGAGCGUUGGCUGUACUGAAGCCUUUCCCUUGCUGGCGUGGGUUCAAAUCCCACCGAGGCCG
rnacentral:tRNA from 1 species